CUUAAGAGGUUUCGGUCAUGCCUCAGUGAUUCCCUUUAUAAUCAAUCAAUUUUUUCCAGAAGGGGGAACUAUCCCCCCUUAAUCCGCUUCUGAUCUUUCUCGCAUUUAAAAAUAAGAUAAAAUGAGUAAAAAAAUAUGUUAUUUCCGAGAUUGGUGACUUUUUCAACUCGUACCAUAAUUUUUAUGGAUAAUUACCCAAACCAUUGUGUAAUACAAAUUAAUUUA
rnacentral:lncRNA from 1 species